CAUUGUCACUUUUGAUAACUCUCGGAAAACCGAAUUGGAGAAACCAGUUCAACAGACUUUUACAAACUUGACAGAUCAUGUGUACACUUCUCAAACGGAUAGCCACUAAAUCUGUCCACGAGUAAUAUAUACUGCCGUCCUUCUAACUCAAACAGAUCGGCGGCAACCUUCUCCAUAGGAUAUUCGGCCUCGUCCACCAAAAUAGUUUCGGCCGGCUGAGAGGAAAGACAACCAAUACAAGCUUCACAUCCGGCAAUCUUGGCCUUAAUGUCAUUUUGCAUUCCCGGCCAAAUAUAAAGCUGGCGAGCAAGUGUACAUGUUUUGGUCACUCCAGAAUGCGAGGCAUGAAGUCACUCCAAAAUCCUUUUUCUUGCAGGUUGAGGAACUACCAGCCGCGAUCCGUGCAAGAGAACUCCAUCCUCCACACGGAGACCAUCAGCCAAAACAACGUAUGGACUAAGGUCGGCCGAAAAUUCCGCACCUGAUGAAACACAAUCACGAAGCGCCUUGUAUUCAUCAUUGACAUUUUUGAUGAUCAGAUGGAGUGCUGGAUCAGAUGUGUCAAUCGCUGAACACACUGCAACGUUUAAAUCGUGAUCAGCGGGGAAAUAAGGUGCUCGACUGAGUGCGUCCGCGAUGUGAUUCAUGUCCAUCUGAUGAGUUUGCCAACUAUGGCACAAUGUACUUGAAAUAUGGAAUGUCAACGAGCUUCCCGCCAAAUCGGCCUGCUCUUGGUCGUAGCAACUCCGAGCCACUUUCCGAAUCAAACUAGUAACAUAAGAAACGUAGAGAUCUCUUCAAUUACAGGCAGGUCACUUUAUAUCAUUCACUUUUAAGUGGUUCGUUUCAGGCGGAAAAUUCAAACUUUUUUUCAGUGCAUGUUUCUUGAGUUCCCAAGGCAUGGUUUUGGGCUCAAAUUUGGCCAAGAUCAUCUCUUCAGCAAGAUUUUGUGGUCGUAUGUCAAGCUUAUUUGGAAAAAAGUGAACGAUUUAGGAGAUAAUAAAUGUUUGCUUUUGUUUGCAGUUGA